rnacentral:misc_RNA from 1 species
UUGAUUCAUCCUUAAAUUGCUCUAAUGUAGUCUGCUUUUUGUUAACAAUAUCUGGAAAUUUCUUCCACAGAUAAGGUCCCCGGUAUUUAAUUGAAUAGGAAGUUAAUUUUGAUUUAUGUUUUGGAACAAGACCACACAAAUAAGAAGAGCUUUAAAAGAAAAGAUGAAAGUAGAACGAGCAGCAGGGAAAUACGCUUUUAUAUCGUACGGUUGAUCAUACGUGAUUGGGCUUCCAAUCGAAAAAAGAAUUAGAAACGUGGCUUAAAAACAAUGAAAAAUACGCACGUUUUGAAUUAGCCAAUUACGCAUCAGUUCAUCAAUGCUUGUGGUGGGGU